rnacentral:misc_RNA from 1 species
UUAACUUAUUAAAAAUACGCUCAGAUUUCCCAGUAGAAUCAAGAGUUUGGUUUGGUCCACCGGCGGGCUCCCGGGAAGGCUCCGAGGUUUGCACGCUCAGACGGCUCCGGGGUUUUCACGCGCAGACGGCUCCCGGGUUGUCACACCCAGAAGGCUCCGCGGUUUCCACCCCGUGCCUACCCCUCCCGGUGGCUCGCGCCGAGGCAACAUGGUAAAUACACAAUGGUUUUUUGGGAGUUUUUCAACUCUGUAAUGAUCCCUCCGCUGGUUCACCAACGGAGA